CACGUAGGGUGCGAGCGUUGUCCGGAAUUAUUGGGCGUAAAGAGCUCGUAGGCGGUCUGUCGCGUCUGCUGUGAAAACCUAGGGCUUAACUCUGGGCGUGCAGUGGGUACGGGCAGGCUAGAGUGCGGUAGGGGAGACUGGAAUUCCUGGUGUAGCGGUGAAAUGCGCAGAUAUCAGGAGGAACACCGGUGGCGAAGGCGGGUCUCUGGGCCGUAACUGACGCUGAGGAGCGAAAGCAUGGGGAGCGAACAGG
rnacentral:rRNA from 1 species